rnacentral:rRNA from 1 species
UACGUAGGCAGCAAGCGUUGUUCGGAGUUACUGGGCGUAAAGAGUAUGUAGGCGGUGUCCUAAGUUCGGUGUGAAAUCUCCCGGCUCAACUGGGAGGGUGCGCCGAAGACUGGGAUGCUGGAGUCUCGGAGAGGAACGCGGAAUUCCUGGUGUAGCGGUGAAAUGCGUAGAUAUCAGGAGGAACACCGGUGGCGAAGGCGGCCACCUGGACGGUAACUGACGCUGAGACGCGAAAGCGUGGGGAGCAAACAGG